rnacentral:ncRNA from 1 species
UUCUUCAGGGCAGGGUGAAAUUCCCGACCGGCGGUAAUAGUCCGCGAGCGCAAGCUGAUCUGGUGUGAUUCCAGAACCGACAGUACAGUCUGGAUGGUAGAAGAG